GAGGCAUUUAAAUCUUGAAAUGUUAGAAUAUAUUAUGAAAUUAUUCACUAAUCCCAUUUCAAUAUAUGCAAACUUGCUGUUAUACUGACAUGGCAAUGAUAUUUCUAUGCACUUUAAAUAUUUUAGAAUAUAUAUAUGUAUAUACAUUUCUGUAGAUUGCAAAUUAAAAAUAACAUUUUUCUUUUUCACUUGAAUUCUCUGACAUACACUUUGCCAGUGCAAUUUUCCAGUUAUCUGGGAACCUACCCAUGUUUCUGCUUCCCCUUCUACAGUGUAGUUGUGAAGCACUUGGUUGAUUUGUAUUUAUCUUCUGCAGAUGUUUAAAAAAAAAAAACAACCUAAAACACUGAAAUGUGGUUCCACAGCUUCCCAUUUUCUGUAUCCUAAGCACACUGAUGUCCUCAGCCUCACCAAGGUCCUUGUCACCUCUGUCUCCUCUGCUGGUGUGUUGCCCAUGUCCCUGGGCUGGCCCUGGGGCACCACGUGCUGGGGAGGUCGGGGCUGAGCCUGGGCAGCCCUGGGUGCUGGUACCCAUGUGCCACUGGCCUCCUUUGCUUGGGGGAUGAGCAGCAUCAUUUUCCUGCCUGUUUGCAGCAGAGGCAGGGCUUUCUCCUCUCUCCAGACCCUGGUUUUCAUCAGCUUGCAGGAAUUUCCUACUCUUGAGAACUCAACUGCUGUAACGUCUCCCUAAAAGCUGCACAGGGUGAUGCACGAGUCAUCACUGCUUGGGAAGCUGCCUUUGCACUUCCCAUGCUCCAGGGACUGCUGGAGCAGCUCUUCCACGUUCACCUGUGCUCUCAGGGUUGUCUAAUGCUUGGUCCUACCCCAAAGCAUCCUCGGUUUGGCCUCAGCCCCUUUAGGCCAGAGAAGAUGCUGGAGCUGCUGGUGCUGCCCAGCCUGUGGGUCAGGCUGGGCACGAGGGGACUCCUUCAUCUUCCACCCCCAGAGAAGACCUGUGCUGCAGACCAGGACCACAUGUCCCAAUGCCUCCCCAGGGAGAAGGGAGAGUCUGAGGUUGUUGAGCUCCGAUGACAAGACCAGCUUUCAUGGUUGUGCCAAGAAACCAUCAGCACUUGGAAAUGGGCCAAAGGCACACAGAUGUCCCCAAACCAUCAGGAUAAAAUUUUUCAUGCUGACUACUCCAGAGGAGUCAACUGUCAUUCCCUCAAAGAUCCACCCGUAACCAGUUGGAUAAAAAUGACUUCCCAGCGGUUUCUCCCAGCCUGGCAGUGCCUGUUCCUGUCUGCCAGAGCUCCCGGGGGGAGGAAAGUGCUUGCAUCCCAAAACACUCAUGGAUCACACCACUGAGUUAGUGCUGGAGUUGCUACUUGAAAGACCCAUUUACAAUGUGGGAAAGGUUCUUCUAUUGCUGAUGAGAACUGUCAAACCCUGGCACCAAGAUAAGGAGGACCUGACGUUCCUGGGCUAUCGACGGUUGGGAUCACAGGGCAUCUGUUCUGUAACAGGAGACUCACUGGGUCUGUCUUUCUGAGGAAAUUCAAACAAGAGCAGCAUCACAGACUUGGCAUUGAUUUUUUUAAAAUAGAACAGCAGCAUGACUGCCAACCUUCUUCUCUCAAAGUGGCAGUUCUGGGAAAGGGCUCAUGGAAAGGGGCACCUGAUUUGCUGGGUUAACUCUUAGAACAGAACUACUGAGGAAGGUCAGAAUUUACAGGAGUCCCCCAGCCCAAAAAAGCUGCAGCUGCCCUGUGGCAGUGUGGUUUGUUCUGGAUUUCUCCCGAUGAAGACUCUCCUGGCUCCAACACUGCUGCUCUGCUCCAACACCGUUAUCCCACAGCCUGAGCAGGAGGGACCCAGGGAAGGAGCCAGGAUGUUCACUCUGCUUCCAGGUGUGGCAGGGUGACUUAAACAGAGGUACUGAACUGCAUUCAAGUCAGAGGGGGAGUAAGUAAAUGAGUCUGAGAUCUGAGAAAUCUUCCCAUAGAAUCACAGACUGGUUUGGUUUGGAAGAGACCUUAAAGCACAUCUUGUUCCAACCAUGGGCAGGGACAGCUUCCACUGGAUCACAGUGCUCCAAGCCCUGUCCAACCUGGCCUUGAAUACUUGAAAUCUUCAAAAAAAACCAAACAACUGAAGAGCUUUGUCAAGGUGCAGGGACCAGAUCUGCUGUUGGUAUAGCUGGAGGGCACAGUUUUGAGUUUCCAAAGCAGUACUCAGCACAUCCUCUCUGAGCUGUGGGAGCUGCAAGGGCUGUGCACGCUGUCUGGCUGGACUCAGCUGGAAUAACACAAACAAUUUCUGGGCUGUGAUGUGUAUUUACAACUGACACUGGUUUGUGGAGUUUUCUUGAAGUCUGGAUCCACGUGUGCACCCAGCUGUGACAGUAACCUGCCAGGUUGAGCUGGCACCCACCAGCCCGUUGGUCCAGCACGUCAGGGCAGGAGCAGUUGUGGCUGGCAGAGCUGUCAGCCCCAGCUUCACUCCUGAGCCUCGGAUGAGGAUGAAUGUCAGCGACACCAAACCAGCCUCCUGUGCACCGUGUUCAUCUGCAAGUGUUUGGGACUGAAUUACUCGAGGCACUCGGAACAGCAGAUAUGGAUUUUCAGUGAAAUAUAUUGUGUUAAAAAUAUAUCCCUCUCUGGUGCAAUAAAUGUGUGCAACAAUUGCUCCUGC